UCAUCAAUAACAUAACCUUAAGUCAUCAAUGUGUACAACUUUAUUACUCAGCCAACUUAAAUGUAUUAUUUAUUGUGUAUACUUCUUAUAUUAUUGGAUAUAUAAGCACUACAGCACAUGAUAUUCUUAAAAGGUAAGAAAAUUAAAACAGAAUGGCUAUAUUGCAAAAAAAAAUAAUUAAUUUCCAUGGAAGAAAAACGACCAAUAUAAAAUUGUAUUGACAUUUGGAUUUGGUAUACACAAUUUCCAAGUACAAUAAAAACACUCAAAUCACGUAUAAUAUUACGAUCACGUAAUCACGUAAUUUAUUGUUUAAAAUAGGAAAAACGAAUUUCCCCGAACUUUUGGUACUGUGUGCAGGUAUAACAUUUUGAAAACGAUCAUGGACGACAAUAUUAAAUUGCAUUACGCACGACCAACGUCAUACGCCCUCGAAGAAACACUAUAGUAUAAUAUAUACCAUUGAAGAAUCGUUUCAAACCCUUAUUAUAUAAUAUCAAUUUCGUAUUGGAUCGAAAGGAAUAGUGGUUACUGGUUACUAGCUAGUCAGGAUAAUGAUAACGGGUUUAUCAAAGACAUUAUAAUAGUAUUAUAAUAUUUGCGACGAUCAAAUAAAAACCGCAGGUACUAAGUUCGGCAACACAAACAGAUUUGACAGAACUAUUUUGCGAUGAACCUCGCUGUUUGACGAUUAAUUAAUAUUAAUCAAACGGUUUCAAACGCGAACAACGGAGACGAUGGCGAUCAAGCUUACACGCGGUGAGUCGAAUAUACUAAUAUAUUAUAUGCGUAAGCUCUAAUGAUUUUAUCAACACUUUAAAAAAUAUAUAAUAA